AGAGUUUGAUCAUGGCUCAGAUUGAACGCUGGCGGCAGGCCUAACACAUGCAAGUCGAACGGUAACAGGAAGCAGCUUGCUGCUUUGCUGACGAGUGGCGGACGGGUGAGUAAUGUCUGGGAAACUGCCUGAUGGAGGGGGAUAACUACUGGAAACGGUAGCUAAUACCGCAUAACGUCGCAAGACCAAAGAGGGGGACCUUAGGGCCUCUUGCCAUCGGAUGUGCCCAGAUGGGAUUAGCUAGUAGGUGGGGUAACGGCUCACCUAGGCGACGAUCCCUAGCUGGUCUGAGAGGAUGACCAGCCACACUGGAACUGAGACACGGUCCAGACUCCUACGGGAGGCAGCAGUGGGGAAUAUUGCACAAUGGGCGCAAGCCUGAUGCAGCCAUGCCGCGUGUAUGAAGAAGGCCUUCGGGUUGUAAAGUACUUUUCAGCGGGGAGGAAGGGAGUAAAGUUAAUACCUUUGCUCAUUGACGUUACCCGCAGAAGAAGCACCGGCUAACUCCGUGCCAGCAGCCGCGGUAAUACGGAGGGUGCAAGCGUUAAUCGGAAUUACUGGGCGUAAAGCGCACGCAGGCGGUUUGUUAAGUCAGAUGUGAAAUCCCCGGGCUCAACCUGGGAACUGCGUCUGAUACUGGCAAGCUUGAGUCUCGUAGAGGGGGGGUAGAAUUCCAGGUGUAGCGGUGAAAUGCGUAGAGAUCUGGAGGAAUACCGGUGGCGAAGGCGGCCCCCUGGACGAAGACUGACGCUCAGGUGCGAAAGCGUGGGGAGCAAACAGGAUAGAUACCCUGGUAGUCA
rnacentral:rRNA from 1 species